rnacentral:misc_RNA from 1 species
GGAAGUAAAAGCGUAACAAGGGCUCCGUUGGUGAACCUGCGGAAGGAUCAUUAUUGUAUAACCGAGGUGCGAGGGCUGUCGCUGACCCGAAAGGUCGUGCACGCCCGAGUGCCCUCACACACAUCCAUCUCACCCCUAUGUGCACCACCGCGUGGGUCCCCCUUUGGCUUGUUCGGAGGGGGGCUUACGUUUUCACACGAACUUUGUAUGCAGUGUAGAAUGUAUUUUUUGUUUUUGCGAUCACGCAAUCAAUACAACUUUCAACAACGGAUCUCUUGGCUCUC